rnacentral:misc_RNA from 1 species
UGGUCCACUCUUGCGUGCGUGG